UAACAAACCCUUGACUUUGGGAUAACUUCAGGAAACUGGGGCUAAUACCGGAUAGGAGCUCCUGCUGCAUGGUGGGGGUUGGAAAGUUUCGGCGGUUGGGGAUGGACUCGCGGCUUAUCAGCUUGUUGGUGGGGUAGUGGCUUACCAAGGCUUUGACGGGUAGCCGGCCUGAGAGGGUGACCGGCCAAAUUGGGACGGAGAUUAGGCCCUGACUCCUACGGGAGGAAGCAGUGGGGAAUAUUGCACAAUGGGCGGAAUCUUUUUUUUGAAACGACGGCGACCGCCGAGAUGUACACAGGGUG
rnacentral:rRNA from 1 species